UGAACUUGUUGGUAUUAUCCAGUAUUUUCUCUUCAUCAGUGUAUUCAUAGCGAUGUCUAUUGAUAUGAGUGAUGAUAAUGGUAGUUCUACUCAUGUCAUGACACAUAAGCAAGGAAAAGCUGUAUGUAGUAGUCAGAAAAUGAUGAUUCUUAAUGUUUUCGAAAUGCUAAGUGAUAAAUAUCCAACUUUACCUGUUGAUGAUGUCAUGAAGAAAGAACUGAGCUUACUGGUAUGUCUGCCAAGAAUAUUUAUAGAGCUAGGAAAGAAAGAACGACAAAAGGGCAGAUUUCGACUCCUAACAAGAAAAGGAAACAUCAGCAAAGUGUGCUAGAAAACAUUUUUGACAAUUUUAUAAGGUCAGUGAUUAGAUGAAAAGUGCAAUAUUUUCUUUUUCAACAAUGAACCUUCAACUCUCAAUAAGCUAUUAAUAAUCCUGAAUUACCAGACCUGAAAAGAUCCUUGCUGCACACUCUGAUUAAGGAAAUAGGAUUCAAAUUUGUUAAGUGGAGUCAAGA
rnacentral:lncRNA from 1 species